rnacentral:misc_RNA from 1 species
AUAUAUAUAUAUAAAAUUAUUUUAAUAUAUAUAUAU